GACGUAGGGCGCGAGCGUUGUCCGGAUUCAUUGGGCGUAAAGGGUGCGUAGGCGGCGCGGUAAGUCGGGUGUGAAAUCUCGGAGCUUAACUCCGAAACUGCAUUCGAUACUGCCGUGCUUGAGGACUGGAGAGGAGACUGGAAUUUACGGUGUAGCGGUGAAAUGCGUAGAUAUCGUAAGGAAGACCAGUGGCGAAGGCGGGUCUCUGGACAGUUCCUGACGCUGAGGCACGAAGGUCAGGGGAGCAAACGGG
rnacentral:rRNA from 1 species